rnacentral:rRNA from 1 species
UACGUAGGUCCCGAGCGUUGUCCGGAUUUAUUGGGCGUAAAGCGAGCGCAGGCGGUUUGAUAAGUCUGAAGUUAAAGGCUGUGGCUCAACCAUAGUUCGCUUUGGAAACUGUCAAACUUGAGUGCAGAAGGGGAGAGUGGAAUUCCAUGUGUAGCGGUGAAAUGCGUAGAUAUAUGGAGGAACACCGGUGGCGAAAGCGGCUCUCUGGCCUGUAACUGACACUGAGGCUCGAAAGCGUGGGGAGCAAACAGG